rnacentral:rRNA from 1 species
AAAGUGAAGGCCUUCCUCUAGGUGGGCUUAGGUGGGAUCCCGUCCCCUGGGGCGGGCGCACCACCGGCCCGUCUCGAUCAUAACUGAUGAGGCGGAGCAAGAGCGUACACGUUGGGACCCGAAAGAUGGUGAACUAUGCCUGAGUAGGUUGAAGCCAGAGGAAACUCUGGUGGAGGACCGUAGCGAUUCUGACGUGC